rnacentral:rRNA from 1 species
UGCAGGAUCCCGUGAAUCAUCGAGUCUUUGAACGCAAGUUUCGUCCGAAGUUAUUAGGCCGAGGGCAUGUAUGCUUGGGCGUC